GUACUGUGCUCAGGACUUCCUGGGUUUCUCCCUCUCUCUCUCUCUCUCUCUCUCCCUUCCUUCUAGGCUGCCCAGGAGGAGCCUGGCUUGCUCGCCACUGUCUGGGACCUCGGCUGCGUGGAAUGCAGAAAGGACUUUCUAGAAUCCAGGGUAUGAACAGCAAAAGGGAUGGAUAACUCCAGGUGUGACUGAAGGUCUCAGCUAAGUAAUGACUGCAUCAAGAUGAGUAUUACUCAAACGUUCUAUUACCGUCCAUCGUCCAAGUAGACCACCACCUCUGAAUCCUUUGCUUUCACAUAUCUUCUGCUACCAUGAAGCACUGAUCUCAGCUGACACUAGGGAAGUUUAUAGCAGUAUACUUUCUCCAAACUUAUCAGAUUUAGUGCACCAUUUCUCCUUUGGUCUACUGCUCAUCCUUUGUUUAUAAAUGGGACUUUCAAUGUCUUCAGGAUAGAAAUUGUUGCAGCAAGAU
rnacentral:lncRNA from 1 species